UCAGACGAUGCGUCAUGCAUAUCAAUAAGCGGAGGAAAAGAAACUAACAAGGAUUCCCUCAGUAACGGCGAGUGAAGCGGGAAGAGCUCAAAUUUGAAAUCUUGAAAGGUCACCUUUCACGAAUUGUAGUUUAAAGAAGUGUUUUCUGUUACGAUCGUAAUAUAAGUUCUUUGGAAUAGGACAUCACAGAGGGUGUGAAUCCCGUCUAUGAUUGCGAUUUGUAGCCUUGUGAUACACUUUCAAAGAGUCGGGUUGUUUGGGAAUGCAGCCCAAAACGGGAGGUAAAUUUCUUCUAAGGCUAAAUAUUGGCGAGAGACCGAUAGCGAACAAGUACCGUGAGGGAAAGAUGAAAAGAACUUUGAAAAGAGAGUUAAAUAGUACGUGAAAUUGUCAAAAGGGAAGCGUUUAACACCAGUGUUGUUUUCUGAAAAUCAACCUCUGUUAGCUUUAUGCAUGUUUGUUUAGACCUAAUCAGCUAUCUUGCAUGUUCUAUUGUUUGCAGUGGUGCACUUUUCAGUUUACAGGUCAACAUCAGUUUUUUUUGCCGUAAAAAAGUUAAAGAAAGGUAGCUCAUGGCUCCGGUCGUGAGUGUUAUAGUCUUUUUCCUAUGCGGUAGGAGAGACUGAGGUCUGCAGUGUAGGCUAUUUGGCUAGAUACUCAGGUGCUAUGUGAUACCAUUUCAUAAACAACUUGUUGAUCAUGUUUUGUCUAUUGCAUACUCGCUUGUACUAUCAUACCUACGCUUAGGAUGUUGAAGACUCUACAGAGAUA
rnacentral:rRNA from 1 species